CACAGCUGAGUGAGGGCGCAGCGCUGCUACUCACGUCCAGCUUCCCGGAUUCCUGCUGUCAGCUCCCAGAGCGGCGCGUAUCCAUCCAGAGAGAGGAGAGGGGAAAGUCUCUCAGUGUCAUCCAGCGUCCGAGAAAAAAGCUGAAGAUGCAAAGGAACAAGAUGAACCAGCAUCCCAGUAAAAAAAAAAAAAAAAAAAA